AAAAGUCCAGUCAACAGCACAGCAGGGCUAAGGAGCCACCUAGGAGCCAGACAGGCCGGAGGCUUCCGGGAGCCGUGCGGAGCCAGGGCAGGCAAGGAGCCUGCUUUAGCCCCACUGCGCUGCCAACUGGGAGCCUCCUGAGAGCCUUCUAUAAUAAGAACAGCUCAUAUGCGCCAUGCGAUACCACCAGCAAAUGCUGCCAAGUCCUGCUGGAGUUCGCUGAGCACACGGCUCUGGCUCCUGGCUUCUCUCCGGAGGAGCUGAGAGAGGCUGCUGCAUGGGGAACAGCUGGGGUGACUGAGAGGGAGCAGGAGCCUUUGUGGAUCCAUGAGAGGACUGGCGACCCCCAGCCAAUGUUGGAGAAUGGCUACCCCAGCGACUGGUCACCUGGUGACCAGGAGGCCCAGCUCGGGAGUCACAGCCAGUUCUGGCCAGUGGGAGGACAAUGGGCUGCGAAGAGAGGACCCCGGUGACCUGACCAGCCGGUUCCAGCCAGAGGGGUACAAAGGAUGGCUGAGAGGAAAGGUGGCCCAGGCAACCCUGUUUACCCGGAUAGAAGACAAUGGACAGAGGUGGGGCUUGGGGGAGGUGAUAUCGGAUGCCCAGCUGGAAAGCACAGGGUCUCUGGACUGGAGAGAGAGAGCAGGAGAGACUUAGAUGUAUGGUGCUGAGGGAGGCCACGCGUGAGAGCCCUGAGAGUUUCCUAUGCUAGGUUCAGACGCUCAAUA